ensembl:lncRNA
CAUCUGGUCCACGAAGUCGUCACCAAGCUUUGCACUCUGGGAUUUGUGGUUUGUAGCAGAUCCAGUAGGACAUGAAGACCAAGAAAUGCACCAACAAAUCCCAUAAUGCAUGCGGCACCUCUGCAGCUAGCGCUCACACGAAAUGCAGCCGCGCGCCUGUUGCUCAGUCUUUAGCUGGAUCGCCGCUGAACGUGAACUACCUCGUGUGUCUACCGGGCAGAUGGAUGUGUCUACCGUGCAGAGAGAUGUGUCUACCGUGCAGAGAGAUGUGCAGCCUUCGUGGUGCUCAAGCCGUCCUGAUGGCUCAGUCGUUGUGGACCUGUAACUCAGUGUCUUGAACCGAUCACUCCGAUCACCUCUCCGUGGCCUGACGUGCGCAUCCCAUCCGUCGAAAUGAAGGAGGGCCCACGGAGACCGAAGGGCUGUGAUUGGUCCAACCCACGGGGACCGAAGGGCUGUGAUUGGUCCAACCCACGGGGACCGAAGGGCUGUGAUUGGUCCAACCCACGGGGACCGAAGGGCUGUGAUUGGUCCAACCCACGGAGACCGAAGGGCUGUGAUUGGUCCAACCCACGGAGACCGAAGGGCUGUGAUUGGUCCAACCCAUGCUGUUUACCUUGUAGAUGGUUCAGUCGUUGUGGACCUUUACCAGUGUCUUGAAAAAACCAUAUUGUUGCAUGGAGCAAAGCUGAUUGGCCAGUUGGAACAGGAAGUUGGGAAACACUAGUUUAAAUAUGUCUCUCUGUUUGUAAUGUGUAAUACAUUUGUAAUUAAAUGCCCACACACACACACACACACUAGUUUAAAUCUGUCUCUCUGUUUGUAAUGUGUAAUACAUUCUGUAAUUAAAUGCCCACACACACACACACUAGUUUAAAUCUGUCUCUCUGUUUGUAAUGUGUAAUACAUUCUGUAAUUAAAUGCCCACACACACACACACUAGUUUAAAUCUGUCUCUCUGUUUGUAAUGUGUAAUACAUUCUGUAAUUAAAUGUAAUACAUCUCUAAAUGAUCAAAAUGGGUAGUUUGGCUUUGAGAAUGAAUGUAGACCCUAACCCCCCUAAGUACUGUUGAAUGCCCACACACACACACUGUUGAAUGCCCAACCCCACACACACACAGGUUCCUGAGAAGUGCAAGUUAUACACACACACACACCUGAGAGAGGUGCAGGUCUCACACACACACACACACCUGAGAGAGGUGCAGGUUACACACACACACACACAGGCAGGUUCCUGAGAGAGGUGCAGGUUAUACACACACACACACAGAGGCAGGUUACACACACCUGAGAGAGGUGCAGGUUACACACACACACACACACACAGAGGCAGGUUACACACACACACCUGAGAGGUGCAGGUUACACACACACACACAGGCAGGUUCCUGAGAGAGGUGCAGGUUAUACACACACACACAGAGGCAGGUUACACACACCUGAGAGAGGUGCAGGUUACACACACACACACAGAUCAGAUCAGAUGCUAACUGUGCAUUUGACACCUUCCAAUCUGGUUUUCGUUCCAAUCAUAGCACAAACGGCAUUAGUCAAGGUUGUAAAUGAUCUCCGGAUUAAUGCUGACUCCAAAAAAAACAUCUGUCUUGGCCCUUCUGGAUCUGAGCGCAGCUUUUGAUACUGUUGAUCACGAUAUCCUUAUUGAUAGACUUGAAAAUUGGGUUGGCCUCACUGGUCCGGUAGCCUAUCCAACUGGCCGGGAAUACUUUGUUGCCCUCGGAGACCACAGCUCAAAAAACAUUUGUAUGACCUGUGGGGUCCCUCAAGGAUCCAUUUUAGGGCCCUUACUUUUCAGUCUAUACAUGCUACCCCUUAGUCGAUGUUGUGCCUCCUAAUUACACUACCAUCAUAGCUAUGCAGAUGACACCCAGCUCUAUAUUUCUGUAACACCCAACAACUGCAGCUCUGUUGAUUGUUUGGUAAAUUGCAUUUCUGAUAUAAAUGUAUGGAUGUCACAAAACUUCUCCAGCUAAACAAGAUUAAAACAGGUAUUAGUCAUUGGUGAAAAAACGAAAGAGAGAAACUAUCUGCACACUUAAAAACACUAGCACUUAACACCAAGCACCAAGCCAGAAACCUA